rnacentral:rRNA from 1 species
UACGUAGGGGGCAAGCGUUGUCCGGAAUUAUUGGGCGUAAAGAGCUCGUAGGCGGUCUGUCGCGUCUGCUGUGAAAACUCAGGGCUUAACCCUGAGCUUGCAGUGGGUACGGGCAGACUAGAGUGCGGUAGGGGAGACUGGAAUUCCUGGUGUAGCGGUGAAAUGCGCAGAUAUCUGGAGGAACACCGGUGGCGAAGGCGACAUCCUGGACCGGUAUUGACGCUGAGGCGCGAAAGCCAGGGGAGCAAACGGG